GGAGAGAUGGCUGAGUGGUUGAUAGCUCCGGUCUUGAAAACCGGUAUAGGUCUGAAUAACGAACUAUCGGGGGUUCGAAUCCCUCUCUCUCCU
rnacentral:tRNA from 2 species